rnacentral:tRNA from 1 species
GGCUUGUAGCUCAGUGGUAGAGUACUCUCCUUGCAUGUGGAAGGCACUGGGUUCAGUCCUCAGCACCA